GAGAGCGGGGCUGAAAGUGCCGGGGGUAAAUUGUGCCGACGCGAAUAUCUCAAAAACAGAAAGAGAUAGAUAUACGAUCGUAUUGUGUCGCGUAAGGCCUAACAGUCGCGCACACGCGGCUGCCAUUUUAGUUGCGUCAGCGACGCGGACCGAGUCGUACUGCAUGUGAGGGUCCUCCAGCGCCACUAUUGUUUAUAUUUACGCGAGCAAUUAUGAAAGAAAGAAAAUACUUUUGGGCAUGAUACUUCAGAGCACCAUCAGGUAAUCAAGAGCAAGAGACACGUCAGUGCUCUCCGGAACCUAUCCCUUGCUGCAGUUUCCAGCCUCCUCAAUCAGUUGAUAAUAACACAGGAGAUAAAAAUGCAGCAGUUUUCUCACCAGAGCUAAUACUACCCGACUAAUUGGACAUACUAAAGCACGUAAAAGAAAGACAGCUGUUCUUACGGACACUCCAGAGAAAAAUGCUUUAGCAGAAGAACAGGCUAGUAAAAAGAAGAAAAAAGAAAGCGAAACUAAAAAGAAGGUUAAGGGAAAAGGGACGGGAAAAUGCAAGGGAAA